rnacentral:rRNA from 1 species
CAGGGAAUCUUGCGCAAUGGGCGAAAGCCUGACGCAGCAACGCCGCGUGGGGGGAUGAAGGCCUUCGGGUUGUAAACCCCUUUCAGGAGGGAGAAAUUGACGGUACCUCCAGAAGAAGGACCGGCCAACUACGUGUCAGCAGCCGCGGUAAUACGUAGGGUCCGAGCGUUAUCCGGAAUCAUUGGGCGUAAAGAGCUCGUAGGCGGUUCAGCAAGUCGGCCGUGAAAGUCCGAGGCUCAACCUCGGAAUUGCAGUCGAUACUGCUGUGACUCGAGUCCGGUAGAGGAGAAUGGAAUUCCCGGUGUAGCGGUGAAAUGCGCAGAUAUCGGGAGGAACACCAGUAGCGAAGGCGGUUCUCUGGGCCGGCACUGACGCUGAGGAGCGAAAGCGUGGGGAGCAAACAGGAUUAGAUACCCUGGUAGUCCACGCCGUAAACGUUGGAUACUAGGUGUGGCGGUCUUACCAACGACUGCCGUGCCGAAGCUAAUGCAUUAAGUGCCCCG